CACCUGUUCCCAUACCGAACACAGUAGUUAAGCACUUGAACGUCGAAAGUACUUGGGUGGAAACGCCCUGGGAGGAUAGAAAACUGCCAGUU
rnacentral:rRNA from 1 species